UAUGUGAUCGUCUCUCGCAUAUCAAUAAGCGGAGGAAAAGAAACUAACAAGGAUUCCCCUAGUAACGGCGAGUGAAGCGGGAAGAGCUCAAAUUUGAAAUCUUAAAGGGUUUCCCUUUACGAAUUGUAGUUUAAAGAAGUGUUUUCUGUUGAGGUUUUGGUAAAAGUUCUUUGGAAUAGGACAUCAUAGAGGGUGAGAAUCCCGUAUUUGACCUUUACUUUCAACUUUGUGAUACACUUUCAAAGAGUCGGAUUGUUUGGGAAUGCAGUCCAAAAUGGGUGGUAAAUUUCAUCUAAAGCUAAAUAUUGGCGAGAGACCGAUAGCGAACAAGUACCGUGAGGGAAAGAUGAAAAGAACUUUGAAAAGAGAGUUAAACAGUACGUGAAAUUGUCAAAAGGGAAGCGUUUGACACCAGUGUUGUUUUUCUGAAAAUCAAUUAAAGAACUGUUUAUGCUAAGCUGUUUAGACUUUAUCAGCUAACUGUUUAGUUUUGAGCUUUUCUUUAAUGCACUUUUCAGUUAACAAGUCAACAUCAAUUUCUUUUGCUGUAAAAAAGCUUGAGGAAGGUGGCUUGAGAUUCGUCUUAAGUGUUUAUAGCCUCUUGCCUAUGCAGUCGGAGAGAUUGAGGUCUGCAGCGUAGAUCCUUCGGGGCUAAAUGCAUUUGUGCUAAGUUAUAGCAUUUUAUAGACAACUUGUUGACUAUGAUUUAGUCUUGUAGCUUACUCGCUUGUGCUAUUUUACCUACGCUUAGGAUGUUGAGUAGCGACAUACGCAC
rnacentral:rRNA from 1 species